UAGCAUGGGAUGAUUUCUUGGAUUCCCCUUCAGGACAGAUGAGUUUCAUCUGUAUGAUGCACGUCUCCAAGAUUCUGAUGCU
rnacentral:snoRNA from 1 species